GUAGGUGAACCUGCGGAAGGAUCAUUAAUAAAUGGCUAGCAAUAGCUUUUAUAUCCUAUACACCUGUGAACUAUUUGCCUUUGGGCACAAACUUAAACAUAAUGUAAUGAAUGUAAACUAUUAUAACAAAUACAACUUUCAACAACGGAUCUCUUGGCUCUC
rnacentral:misc_RNA from 1 species